rnacentral:rRNA from 1 species
UACGAAGGGAGCUAGCGUUGUUCGGAAUCACUGGGCGUAAAGCGCACGUAGGCGGAUUUGUCAGUCAGGGGUGAAAUCCCGGGGCUCAACCUCGGAACUGCCUUUGAUACAGCAAGUCUUGAGUUCGAGAGAGGUGGGUGGAAUUCCUAGUGUAGAGGUGAAAUUCGUAGAUAUUAGGAAGAACACCGGUGGCGAAGGCGGCCCACUGGCUCGAUACAGACGCUGAGGUGCGAAAGCGUGGGGAGCAAACAGG